ACCAUUGCACUCCAGCCUGGGCUACAGAGUGAGACUCUGUCUCAAAAAAAAAAAAAAGUUUAUUCAAGAAAAAACGGGGAGUGACCCAUUCAGGAGGAAGACUCCAGAGAAACAGGGUCAGUGCUCCAAAGGUCAAAGGGCCUCGAUUCUGUCCUCCUCGUCCUGCAUCUCCAGAGUGCCCAUCCACUCCUCAAAGAGGUCGCUUGAAAGUAGCUUCCGGGGGAUACUUCUGAGGAAGUCCUGGGGGAUGAGAGCGGGCUAUUGGCCUAUUGGUACUGUAUGAUGUCCCAUGUCCUCGUUUUUACCUGGUUUUCAUUCCAUCACAGGGUGCUCUAUGCUUAGCCCAUCAUAGAUUGUGCCCCUUCAUUCCUGCAUUUGAUUAAUCCAGGGAACCCUCUCUGCAACACCCUUGGCCUCUCUGCGACUUUCUAACAUCAAGCAGAGUCAGAGGCACCAUCCCCAGGUGGGUGUGUUCUGAGGGGCCACUGGAUUUUGGCAUGUGGAUUCUGCCAUGGAACAAUCAAAUUGCCUGUUGUUGGCAAAGUUUUGAGAGAGCAGAAUGCAUUGCUUUCUGUUGGAAUCUGAGGUCACAGAAACAGAGGUGCUUACCAAAUAAAUAAAUAAAUAAAGGGCUUAAUGAAAAAAAUAAAACUCCAAGAUCAGUGUACCUUGCUGUGUGGAGAGAAGAGCCUAUUUCUUGCAUCCUGAGAAUGAGUGUGCCAGGGCCCCUUGGCAGGUUUUUUGGCGCAAGCGUGUUGAACUCACCUUAAAGACCACAGCGAGGAGGUGCACGGGGAGGCUCUCCAGAUCCACCGCAUCCCCAGAGUUGAGCUCCUCCUUCAGCUCCUUGCGGGCUUUCUCGUUGGCUGCUCUCCUGAAUAUCCCUUCCGUUGAAGGGCCUUUAAGGCAUAGAAUAGUGAGAAUGUCCUAAAGGAAACAGCGAUAGGAACAGGAAAGGAUUACCAUUGGUUCAAAGAUACUGUGCUGCUACUAAUGCAUGAAGAUCUAUGCUUAGACUGCAGAAAGAAUUAAAAUAAGGUACAUGAACAGUUUCUAACUUUACUUGUCAUAAAAUACCAUCUCUCUAAAAGUUAGUUAUCUUCUCUAGUAUACUGAGAUAGUCUUAACAGGAAUAUUAAUGUCAGAUUUUGCUUUCAGUUCAGUCGCUAUCAAUGGCCUUCCUCAACCCCGCUAUUUUUCUAAGAGGAGGCAAAUUGUGAAAGCUCUAAUUUUGCACUUUCUAAAAUCAUUUUGGAGCUCUCUCAUUUCAAAUACUUCCAUAUGAACAUUGGAUUUUGGAUCACAAAGUCUAUAUUCUGUUUCCCCUUCAGACUUUUCAGAAGCUACAAAUCUUCGGCAUUCUUCACUCUGUGCAGUCAGAGAAAUGGAGGGACCAUAGCUCUGAGCUCAUUGGCAAAUACAACUAAUUUCAAUUUCUGGAAUGGAAGCAGUCAGAUAUUCUUCUAACUGCAUGCGUAUGUGGGAGUGCCAUGUCGAAGAGUGGAAAAUAUGGAAGAUCAGUCCCUACAAACUUCAUAGGAGAAUGACAUUCAGAUUUCCUGAGUAUUUUGCAUGUCCAACUGAAAACUGAAGUAGGUUUAUGAGAAAAUGCAUGCCUACCUGGAUGGGUCUGGGGAGUGUGUCGCUGCCACCACAGAUAAUUGACAAGGGCUGAUCAAAUAGUGAUGCUUUCAAGUCUGUCUCCAAAGCCCCAGAAAAAUCUGAUGCAGGGGAGAGCCUUCUCAUGAGAAAGGGCCAGGACAGCACCUUCUUUCUCUUCUUAACUUCUACAGCCAAGAAAACAAGGCAACGAGAAAAAUUAGACUACAGUGUUAAUACGCAAAGAUCCAGGUAAGAAAAUGGGUAUCGUUGGCCACAUAAUGUGGUCGAUAGUAUAUGCCAUGUGAGAAAAAUAAUUUUGAAAACUUAAGAAAGCAAAGGGCGUGAAUCUUAAUCUAGAAAAACCAACCGAUAAACAACCACACUGUUACCAGGGCAACCAGUUCCCUAAACAGCAACACCAGGGUUCCUCAGAGCCUCCACCUUUCCUGUUUUCACUCUUUCCAGCUGUUUGCUACAGAAAAUUAGCAAAACCUAACUGUGCAGAUCAUAAACAACCAUCUUAACCUACUGGCCUGAAUAACUAUAGAGGAAAUUUCUGAUAUGAAAUAGAUUAUUUUGAUUUCCUCCUUUAAUUGGCGAAGAAAACGAAACUUAAAAGGUGAGGAAGUGACUUGCUCAGUAUCUCUUCGAAGGCACAUAGCAGGGCCGGCUCCAACCCUUUGCAGCCUCGCAGGCACUACAUAGCCACUAGAGGGAGCUAACACCAUUCUUCCUUCCGGGUGACUGGUCACCUGGGUUUUCCAGGUCGCUGCUUUAGGACAGAGGCAAAUACGAAUCGCGGCAGGAAGGUCUGAACCUACAUCUGGCAACUGGAAAUUAUCAGCAAAACGUUAUCAAGAUAUUCUGUCCUUCCGAAAUCCACAAGAUGUGUGUGCAAUGGAUAUUGCAAUCUCAAAAGUUUCCUUCUUUCUUUUCUUUUCCUUCCUUCCUUCUCCUUUUUUUUAAAACUAAUUAUAAAGGCUAUAUUUUCUAAAUGCAUUGGCAUAUGUUUCUGUACAUUUUAGAUUGGCAAGUGGAAGCGUGAUGAGAAAGAAGUGGCCUGUAUGGUUCAGGAGAACUGGGUCAGGGUUGUGCUGUAAUGAAAUGCAUUAUGAAAAAAAUUGAGAGCGAAUGGUGGGUCCUUUGGGAUUUGAGAUCAGCAACAGUUGCUUCAUAGGCUCUUGGAUGCAUUCUCCAUAAGAGAAGGAAGAAAAUGGAAAAGACGCUGUGUGUUUUCAAAUGUGUGCAUGCUAAUUGUGGAAACAUACAUGGCCAGGAGACGGAACCGCAUUAAAAACCCUUGGCAGAACUGGGGGAUUCUCUGUGGAGAGGCUCUUUCCGCUCGCAGCACUCCCGGCUCUAGUGAGUUGGAGCACACCUGCCAUUUAAGGGUUAAUGUUCUGCGGUCUUUAACAGAACACUUAUACAAAAAAAUUCCUAGUAGAGUAAAAACGCUGUGGUUUUGCAAACCAAGAACGCUGGUUGUUAGCACUUACAUAAAAGAUCAGUAUGUUUUCAAAACUCACCAAUGAGCUGGCAAAUACUGUCUUCACUCUCACAUGAUGCCAACAGGGGAUGUUCCUUGAUGUCACCCUAAAAACAUUUUUAUUUCAGUUAAAUAUAGUGACUGAAGAAACCUAUCGAGUCUUUCCCCACAAAACACACAUACAACAUUUUAUUCAUAUUAAAAAUGAAGUCAGUAGAGUGCAUUGAUGUUUUUUUCUAGCUUCUAGAGGCAAUAUUAAAGUCUCGAUUGUCAUCAUAUAAGAUCCUAAUUAAUGUGUUUAAUUUACUACAUGUGUGAUGUUAAUUUACUACUCUGAUAAUUAAUAUUCAACCCAAAUAAUAUUCAAUAAAACAAAGUUUUCCACCUUCUCACAGUACAGAUAAAAAGUUUCAAAAAUUGCUUUCUUACCUCUGAUUGACAUUCGAUUAGCGUCUCCAUAUUACUGGCAUUUAGUGUUUUUGACUAAAAGAGAAAAAAUAAAAUUAGGUAAAUAUCUUUUGGCCCUUGCCUCUAGGAAACACGAAUUAAUAAAUGUGAGAGUGUCACUCACAGCAUUGUGGCUGCUUCUCAGCUUCAUCAGUAUUGGGACUGACUGUCCGGGAGUGAAUUUCACUCCUGUGCGGCUGUGGCUCUGUCUACAACGAAUCAUAUGGAAAGGAGUUAGGAGGAACACACAGUAGGUUGGCCACUUUCAGCACCACUUUGCCAAAGCACAGAGUUUGAAACUAUUUAUUUAUUUAUUUAUUUUUCUAUUUUACUACUUUUUCAAUUGCCUUUACUUUGGAAAAAAAACUAUUACAUAGACAAGUUUUCAUUUAAAGUCAGUUCUGUGUUACCAGAUGUCAUAUGUUGUUAAGAACAGCAUCUGAACACAAUUAUUUCUAAAUUAUUUAAGCCAACUAUCUUUACCAUUCUAAACGUUGUCACCAAUUUAUUCCAUUCCCAUCAAGAGAUAAUUUGGAUAUCAAUUACAUUAACAUUUUAAAUUAACAUUAACAUUAACUUUUUGGGGGGAGUCCUCACUAUAUGCCAGGUAUCGUAGUAGGUGCUUUGCAUGGAUUUUCUCAUCUAAUCCAAAAAGGAAAAAAAAAAUGUAUCUCCAGGAUGCUGCAAUAGUAAACAUGAAACAAAGACAACAUUUAUAGAAUCCCUACACCAAAAAGGUGCAGCCUUCACGUUGAAGCAAAGCUUUCUUUGUCCUGAGACUUUAUAAAGUGAGUGUAUAUUCCACGGGCUAGCUGUUUUCUGUUGCCUGUGAUCUGAGUGACCUGUGACUGGGAAGGCAGCCUGCAAUUUCUAGGCGUGUUAAUAUAUAGUACUUACCCUCGGAGGGUCUCUAGCCAGAGUUCUUUUACAUCCGGUGAGCUGUAAAUAAUGGGAGAAAGAGCAUGACACUCUGCUGCUUCUAGUCCACUGGGAGAGAGGGAGACUGAGCCGGUCUCCCUUCACAUGCUCUGCAUUAUAAGCGAGGGGGCGGGCAGGUGGAAAUUCAGAAUAUUACAGAGACCGGAAAGAACAUCAUGGGCUGUCACACAGACGAAGCCAGCCAGACACUGGAGAGCUCUCACUUCCUCAUUCCUUUUAGGGCAGCUCUGUCUUUUUUUUUUCUCCUCCACUUCAAAGUAAAAAAUCUGUAAACUACUAGGAGUGGAAAAGAUGACAUUCAGCCCAUAGGUGAAGGCUCUGAUUAAUGUCAUAGGUGGGAUGUGUGAACAAGAAAUUGUGUUAUUCUGUGCAUAAACAUCACUUUAUUUUCUAAAGUGGUAAUUUCAAGUGCCUUUUUUUGCGUCCUGUUUGGGUGCUGUUCCCCCUCCCACGUGCCAUCCGCUCUGUCCACCAGCACCACACGUUGAUUAGCAUCCCUGGAUGUGGGACACCGUUACAGAACCAGAAAGAAACCCAAGACAGUCCCUUCCUUGAGGAACAAUCACCAUCCAAAGCCACAUUAGUUUCCUUUGGAAGUAGAAAGAAAACUCCCUCGAGUCAGUUGUCAAUACAGUAACCCCCUUCUCCUUUCUGUAACUCCUGGUCAAAAGUAUUGAUACUUAAUUUACAGUCAGAGCAGAUGUCGUUCUGACAUGGAAGGAAAACAAAAAUUCCUUUGAUCAGACCAAUUUAAAAUAGGAAAGAGAUGGUGAAUUUCAUUUGUGGAUCACUCUUUCUCAUAAGAGAAUUUCUGAUCUUUUCUAUAGAUCAAGGGCAAUAUAUGAAACCACUCAAAUGCCUCAGCAUGAGAAUGGAUGCAUAAGUUGUGAUCCAUUCACAUAGAGAAUGAAUGUUAUAUAGCACUGACAAUGAACAGCCUAUGACUAUAGCCAACAAUAUGGUUGGAUCUCACAAUAUGACGUUGAGCCAAGGAAGCCAGACUUGAAUUAAUUAAUGCAAAGCACAAAACUAGCAAAAGUCGUCUGUGCUGUUGGAAGCAAGAGUAGCAGUUUCUCAGAGGGGCUGGUAGUGACUUCCAGGGGCCAGCGGGGGUUUGGUGAUUGUCCAUUCUUGAUCUGGGUGGUGCUAGGCUUAUGUGCACACUUUCCUAUUUAUGUUAGUUUUCAAUAAAAAGUUUUAAAAUAA